GAGUAACCCUAUCACAAAAGAUAAGAGAGAGAGAGAGCACUGUUUUUGAGUGUUGGAAUCACCAAAGACCUGAGGAUGAAACUAAAUUAAAGAAGUGAACUAUGGCGUUUGCUUAAAAUCACAUGUAAAGGAUGAAGGUCUCAGCACAGCAGUGGACACACAGUGAGAGCCAAAUACCUCAAACACACAGCCAGACACCUGCUGCCAAAAAAGAGCAGAGAAGAAGAAGAGCCUGGAGCUGUAACAGAGCCGUGUGUUGUUCUCUUUUGAUCAGGCGGGUGGAUGAGCAGACCGCUGUGCUUCUCAGGACCCCAGGCCUUUGUUUUUCUUCUCUCUCUUUUUAUGCAAUGAUGUUGACUUUAGACUGUAAUGAAAUCACACCUCACAUCCAGCUGUGCGUUCUGGGAAGCCGAGCAGUGAGUGGAGCUGUUCCACAAAGCUACUGACAGGCUCAGCUGGAGCAGAUGUUGUCAUACGUGCUCAAAUGUACAAGAAUAAUAAGAGAUUAGGAGUGUGUGAUCACCUCUGUUAAGAUAGCGUCUCCUGUGAUGUGAAAUAAAUUCCUCUGUCGGAGUCAAUAUGUCAA